rnacentral:rRNA from 1 species
GAUGAACGCUGGCGGCGUGCUUAACACAUGCAAGUCGAACGAGAAGUGAAGACGGAACCCUUCGGGCGGAAGGCUUUAUUUCGAGUGGCGGACGGGUGAGUAACGCGUGGGUAACCUGCCUCAUACAGGGGGAUAACAGUUGGAAACGACUGUUAAUACCGCAUAAGACCACAGCACCGCAUGGUGCGGGGGUAAAAACUCCGGUGGUAUGAGAUGGACCCGCGUUCGAUUAGCCAGUUGGCGGGGUAACGGCCCACCAAAGCGACGAUCGAUAGCCGAUCUGAGAGGAUGACCGGCCACAUUGGGACUGAGACACGGCUCAAACUCCUACGGGAAGCAGCAGUGGGGAAUAUUGCACAAUGGGGGAAACCCUGAUGCAGCGACGCCGCGUGAGUGAAGAAGUAUUUCGGUAUGUAAAGCUCUAUCAGCAGGGAAGAAAAUGACGGUACCUGAGUAAGAAGCCCCGGCUAACUACGUG